rnacentral:pre_miRNA from 1 species
AAUGUACUCCCUCCGAUCCAUAUUAAUUGCCGAAAUAUUGCAUGUAUCUAGACGCUUUUUAGUAGAUACAUCCAUAUUUGGGCAAAUUUGAGACAAAUUAAUAUGGAUCGGAGGGAGUAUUUU